rnacentral:rRNA from 1 species
UUGCAAAGGUAGCAUAAUAAUUAGUUUACUAAUUGUAAAAUCGUAUGAACGAAUAAAUAAAGUUUCAAUUGUCUCAAUUCUCCCAACCGAACUUUAUUUCUUUAUGAAAAAGUUAAGAUUUAUUUAAAGGACGAGAAGACCCUAUAAAUCUUAACUUUUUCAUAAAGAAAUAAAGUUCGGUUGGGGCGACCAGUGAAAAUUUCAACUUCACUAAUUUAAAAAUUUUAAUAAAAAUAACAUUCUAUCCAUGAUCCUUAAAAAAGAUUAAUAGAUAAAGUUACUUUAGGGAUAACAGCAUAAUUUUUUUUAAGAGUUCUUAUCAACAAAAAAGNUUGUGACCUCGAUGUUGGAUUAAAUACAAUUAUAAUGCAGCAAUUAUACUUAACUAGUCUGUUCGACUUUUACUAUUUACACGAUUUGAGUUCAGACCGGA